rnacentral:rRNA from 1 species
UAAGGAAUAUUGCUCAAUGGGAGAAAUCCUGAAGCAGCAACGCCGCGUGGAGGAUGAAGGGUCUAUGACUUGUAAACUCCUGUAAAGAAGGAAAAAAUUCCCAUUUGAUGGGAGAUGAUGGUACUUCUGGAGUAAGCCCCGGCUAACUACGUGCCAGCAGCCGCGGUAAUACGUAGGGGGCAAGCGUUGUCCGGAUUUACUGGGUGUAAAGGGUGCUCAGGCGGAUUUGUAAGUCAGAGGUGAAAUCUUACAGCUUAACUGUGAAACGGCCUUUGAUACUGCAAGCCUAGAGUAUGGAAGAGAGUGAUGGAAUAUCUGGUGUAGCAGUGAAAUGCGUAGAUAUCAGAUAGAACACCAAUGGAGAAGGCAGUCACUUGGUCCAUUACUGACGCUAAAGCACGAAAGCGUGGGUAGCAAACA